UCUGGGACAAGCCCUGGAAACGGGGUCUAAUACCGGAUAACACUCUCACAGGCAUCUGUGGGGGUUGAAAGCUCCGGCGGUGAAGGAUGAGCCCGCGGCCUAUCAGCUUGUUGGUGAGGUAGAAGCUCACCAAGGCGACGACGGGUAGCCGGCCUGAGAGGGCGACCGGCCACACUGGGACUGAGACACGGCCCAGACUCCUACGGGAGGCAGCAGUGGGGAAUAUUGCACAAUGGGCGAAAGCCUGAUGCAGCGACGCCGCGUGAGGGAUGACGGCCUUCGGGUUGUAAACCUCUUUCAGCAGGGAAGAAGCGAAAGUGACGGUACCUGCAGAAGAAGCGCCGGCUAACUACGUGCCAGCAGCCGCGGUAAUACGUAGGGCGCAAGCGUUGUCCGGAAUUAUUGGGCGUAAAGAGCUCGUAGGCGGUCUGUCACGUCGGAUGUGAAAGCCCGGGGCUUAACCCCGGGUCUGCAUUCGAUACGGGCAGACUAGAGUGUGGUAGGGGAGAUCGGAAUUCCUGGUGUAGCGGUGAAAUGCGCAGAUAUCAGGAGGAACACCGGUGGCGAAGGCGGAUCUCUGGGCCAUUACUGACGCUGAGGAGCGAAAGCGUGGGGAGCGAACAGGAUUAGAUACCCUGGUAGUCCACGCCGUAAACGGUGGGAACUAGGUGUUGGCGACAUUCCACGUCGUCGGUGCCGCAGCUAACGCAUUAAGUUCCCCGCCUGG
rnacentral:rRNA from 1 species